rnacentral:rRNA from 1 species
AUUGAACGCUGGCGGCAGGCCUAACACAUGCAAGUCGAACGAGUGGCGGACGGGUGAGUAAUGUCUGGGAACAUGCCUGAUGGAGGGGGAUAACUACUGGAAACGGUAGCUAAUACCGCAUACCAUCAGAUGUGCCCAGAUGGGAUGAGCUUGUUGGUGGGGUAACGGCUCACCAAGGCGACGAUCCCUAGCUGGUCUGAGAGGAUGACCGGCCACACUGGAACUGAGACACGGUCCAGACUCCUACGGGAGGCAGCAGUGGGGAAUAUUGCACAAUGGGCGCAAGCCUGAUGCAGCAAUGCCGCGUGUAUGAAGAAGGUCUUCGGGUUGUAAAGUACUUUCAGCGGGGAAGCGUUACCCGAAGAAAAAGCACCGGCUAACUCCGUGCCAGCAGCCGCGGUAAUAC